UACGUAGGGUCCAAGCGUUGUCCGGAUUUACUGGGUAUAAAGGGUGCGCAGGCGGAUCUGUGCGUCGGAGGUUAAAGACCCGGGCUCAACCCGGGAAGUGCCUUCGAUACGGCAGAUCUUGAGUGUGAGAGAGGAUAGUAGAAUUCCUGGUGUAGCGGUGAAAUGCGUAGAUAUCAGGAGGAAUACCAGUGGCGAAGGCGGCUAUCUGGCUCAUAACUGACGCUUAGGCACGAAAGCGUGGGGAUCAAACAGG
rnacentral:rRNA from 1 species